CCCCAGUAGCGGCGAGCGAACGGGGAGCAGCCCAGAGUCUGAAUCAGCUUGUGUGUUAGUGGAACGGUCUGGAAAGUCCGACGGUACAGGGUGAUAGUCCCGUACACCAAAAUGCACAGGUUGUGAACUCGAAGAGUAGGGCGGGACACGUGGUAUCCUGUCUGAAUAUGGGGGGACCAUCCUCCAAGGCUAAAUACUCCUGACUGACCGAUAGUGAACCAGUACCGUGAGGGAAAGGCGAAAAGAACCCCGGCGAGGGGAGUGAAAAAGAACCUGAAACCGUGUACGUACAAGCAGUGGGAGCACCUUCGGGUGUGACUGCGUACCUUUUGUAUAAUGGGUCAGCGACUUAUAUUCUGUAGCAAGGUUAACCGUAUAGGGGAGCCGCAGGGAAACCGAGUCUUAACUGGGCGUUAAGUUGCAGGGUAUAGACCCGAAACCCGGUGAUCUAGCCAUGGGCAGGUUGAAGGUUGGGUAACACUAACUGGAGGACCGAACCGACUAAUGUUGAAAAAUUAGCGGAUGACUUGUGGCUGGGGGUGAAAGGCCAAUCAAACCGGGAGAUAGCUGGUUCUCCCCGAAAGCUAUUUAGGUAGCGCCUCGUGAACUCAUCUUCGGGGGUAGAGCACUGUUUCGGCUAGGGGGUCAUCCCGACUUACCAACCCGAUGCAAACUACGAAUACCGAAGAAUGUUAUCACGGGAGACACACGGCGGGUGCUAACGUCCGUCGUGAAGAGGGAAACAACCCAGACCGCCAGCUAAGGUCCCAAAGUCAUGGUUAAGUGGGAAACGAUGUGGGAAGGCACAGACAGCCAGGAUGUUGGCUUAGAAGCAGCCAUCAUUUAAAGAAAGCGUAAUAGCUCACUGGUCGAGUCGGCCUGCGCGGAAGAUGUAACGGGGCUAAACCAUGCACCGAAGCUGCGGCAGCGACACUAUGUGUUGUUGGGUAGGGGAGCGUUCUGUAAGCCUGCGAAGGUGUGCUGUGAGGCAUGCUGGAGGUAUCAGAAGUGCGAAUGCUGACAUAAGUAACGAUAAAGCGGGUGAAAAGCCCGCUCGCCGGAAGACCAAGGGUUCCUGUCCAACGUUAAUCGGGGCAGGGUGAGUCGACCCCUAAGGCGAGGCCGAAAGGCGUAGUCGAUGGGAAACAGGUUAAUAUUCCUGUACUUGGUGUUACUGCGAAGGGGGGACGGAGAAGGCUAUGUUAGCCGGGCGACGGUUGUCCCGGUUUAAGCAUGUAGGCUGAUUGUCCAGGCAAAUCCGGAUAAUCAAGGCUGAGGUGUGAUGACGAGGCACUACGGUGCUGAAGUAACAAAUGCCCUGCUUCCAGGAAAAGCCUCUAAGCAUCAGGUAACAUUAAAUCGUACCCCAAACCGACACAGGUGGUCAGGUAGAGAAUACCAAGGCGCUUGAGAGAACUCGGGUGAAGGAACUAGGCAAAAUGGUGCCGUAACUUCGGGAGAAGGCACGCUGGUGUGUAGGUGAAGUCCCUGCGGAUGGAGCUGAGACCAGUCGAAGAUACCAGCUGGCUGCAACUGUUUAUUAAAAACACAGCACUGUGCAAACACGAAAGUGGACGUAUACGGUGUGACGCCUGCCCGGUGCCGGAAGGUUAAUUGAUGGGGUUAUCCGUAAGGAGAAGCUCUUGAUCGAAGCCCCGGUAAACGGCGGCCGUAACUAUAACGGUCCUAAGGUAGCGAAAUUCCUUGUCGGGUAAGUUCCGACCUGCACGAAUGGCGUAAUGAUGGCCAGGCUGUCUCCACCCGAGACUCAGUGAAAUUGAACUCGCUGUGAAGAUGCAGUGUACCCGCGGCAAGACGGAAAGACCCCGUGAACCUUUACUAUAGCUUGACACUGAACAUUGAGCCUUGAUGUGUAGGAUAGGUGGGAGGCUUUGAAGCGUGGACGCCAGUCUGCGUGGAGCCAACCUUGAAAUACCACCCUUUAAUGUUUGAUGUUCUAACGUUGGCCCCUUACCGGGGUUGCGGACAGUGUCUGGUGGGUAGUUUGACUGGGGCGGUCUCCUCCCAAAGCGUAACGGAGGAGCACGAAGGUUAGCUAAUCCUGGUCGGACAUCAGGAGGUUAGUGCAAUGGCAUAAGCUAGCUUGACUGCGAGCGUGACGGCGCGAGCAGGUGCGAAAGCAGGUCAUAGUGAUCCGGUGGUUCUGAAUGGAAGGGCCAUCGCUCAACGGAUAAAAGGUACUCCGGGGAUAACAGGCUGAUACCGCCCAAGAGUUCAUAUCGACGGCGGUGUUUGGCACCUCGAUGUCGGCUCAUCACAUCCUGGGGCUGAAGUAGGUCCCAAGGGUAUGGCUGUUCGCCAUUUAAAGUGGUACGCGAGCUGGGUUUAGAACGUCGUGAGACAGUUCGGUCCCUAUCUGCCGUGGGCGCUGGAGAAUUGAGGGGGGCUGCUCCUAGUACGAGAGGACCGGAGUGGACGCAUCACUGGUGUUCGGGUUGUCAUGCCAAUGGCACUGCCCGGUAGCUAAAUGCGGAAGAGAUAAGUGCUGAAAGCAUCUAAGCACGAAACUUGCCCCGAGAUGAGUUCUCCCUGAGACUUUAAGUCUCCUGAAGGAACGUUGAAGACGACGACGUUGAUAGGCCGGGUGUGUAAGCGCAGCGAUGCGUUGAGCUAACCGGUACUAAUGAACCGUGAGGCUUAACCUU
rnacentral:rRNA from 1 species